rnacentral:rRNA from 1 species
CCGAGUCUUAACCGGGCGUUAAGUUGCAGGGUAUAGACCCGAAACCCGGUGAUCUAGCCAUGGGCAGGUUGAAGGUUGGGUAACACUAACUGGAGGACCGAACCGACUAAUGUUGAAAAAUUAGCGGAUGACCUGUGGCUGGGGGUGAAAGGCCAAUCAAACCGGGAGAUAGCUGGUUCUCCCCGAAAGCUAUUUAGGUAGCGCCUCGUGAAUUCAUCUCCGGGGGUAGAGCACUGUUUCGGCUAGGGGGCCAUCCCGGCUUACCAACCCGAUGCAAACUGCGAAUACCGGAGAAUGUUAUCACGGGAGACACACGGCGGGUGCUAACGUCCGUCGUGAAGAGGGAAACAACCCAGACCGCCAGCUAAGGUCCCAAAGUCAUGGUUAAGUGGGAAACGAUGUGGGAAGGCCCAGACAGCCAGGAUGUUGGCUUAGAAGCAGCCAUCAUUUAAAGAAAGCGUAAUAGCUCACUGGUCGAGUCGGCCUGCGCGGAAGAUGUAACGGGGCUAAACCAUGCACCGAAGCUGCGGCAGCGAACGUAUCACUUAAAGCGAUUCAGCGGGUUACGAUUGACGGAGCGAAGCGACGUCAAAGCGUAUACAAAGUCGAGUCGGUUUAAGGAUACGUUCGUUGGGUAGGGGAGCGUUCUGUAAGCCUGUGAAGGUGGCCUGUGAGGGUUGCUGGAGGUAUCAGAAGUGCGAAUGCUGACAUAAGUAACGAUAAAGCGGGUGAAAAGCCCGCUCGCCGGAAGACCAAGGGUUCCUGUCCAACGUUAAUCGGGGCAGGGUGAGUCGACCCCUAAGGCGAGGCCGAAAGGCGUAGUCGAUGGGAAACGGGUUAAUAUUCCCGUACUUGGUGUUACUGCGAAGGGGGGACGGAGAAGGCUAUGUUGGCCGGGCGACGGUUGUCCCGGUUUAAGCGUGUAGGUGUGUGUUCCAGGUAAAUCCGGUUCACUUUAACACUGAGGCGUGAUGACGAGGCACUACGGUGCUGAAGCAACAAAUGCCCUGCUUCCAGGAAAAGCCUCUAAGCAUCAGGUAACAUCAAAUCGUACCCCAAACCGACACAGGUGGUCAGGUAGAGAAUACCAAGGCGCUUGAGAGAACUCGGGUGAAGGAACUAGGCAAAAUGGUGCCGUAACUUCGGGAGAAGGCACGCUGACACGUAGGUGAAGUGAUUUACUCACGGAGCUGAAGUCAGUCGAAGAUACCAGCUGGCUGCAACUGUUUAUUAAAAACACAGCACUGUGCAAACACGAAAGUGGACGUAUACGGUGUGACGCCUGCCCGGUGCCGGAAGGUUAAUUGAUGGGGUCAGCGCAAGCGAAGCUCCUGAUCGAAGCCCCGGUAAACGGCGGCCGUAACUAUAACGGUCCUAAGGUAGCGAAAUUCCUUGUCGGGUAAGUUCCGACCUGCACGAAUGGCGUAAUGAUGGCCAGGCUGUCUCCACCCGAGACUCAGUGAAAUUGAACUCGCUGUGAAGAUGCAGUGUACCCGCGGCAAGACGGAAAGACCCCGUGAACCUUUACUAUAGCUUGACACUGAACAUUGAGCCUUGAUGUGUAG